UCCGUAGGUGAACCUGCGGAGGGAUCAUUACAGAGUUGCAAAACUCCCCACCAUUGUGUACCUACCUCACCGUUGCUUCGGCGGGUGGCCCCUAAUUACAGGCCACGCCGGUUCCCUCCAGGGGCCGGCACCCCGUCAGAGGCCCGAAACCCUUCGUCAUUAUAGGCCUCUCUGAGUAACUUAUACAAUAAGUCAAAACUUUCAACAACGGAUCUCUUGGUUCUGCCAUCGAUGAAGAACGCAGCGAAAUGCGAUACGUAAUGUGAAUUGCAGAUUUCAGUGAAUCAUCGAAUCUUUGAACGCACAUUGCGCCCGCUAGUAUUCUGGCGGGCAUGCCUGUUCGAGCGUCAUUUCAACCAUCAAGCGCCUGCGCUUGUGUUGGAGCCCUGCGGCUGCCGCAGGCUCCCAAACCCAGUGGCGGGCUCGUCGUCGUACCGAGUGCAGUAAACAUCCUCGCUCAGGGCACGCGUCGGGUACCGGCCGUAAAACCCCCCAACUUUACAUUCGAUGGUCCUCGGAUCAGGUAGGAAUACCCGCUGAACUUAAGCAUAUCAAUAAGGCGGGGAGGGGGAAGGUCGGACUGGCCAAGGGCACACAGGGGGGGAUA
rnacentral:rRNA from 1 species